rnacentral:rRNA from 1 species
GAUGAACGCUAGCUACAGGCUUAACACAUGCAAGUCGAGGGGUAACGAGAGGAAAGCUUGCCUUCCUUGUCGACGACCGGCGCACGGGUGAGUAACGCGUAUCCAACCUGCCCCCAACUAGGGAAUAACCUUGCGUAAGUAAGACUAAUACCCUAUAAUUUCCUCAGAUGUCAUCUGACGAGGAAUAAAGAUUUAUCGGUUGUGGAUGGGGAUGCGUCUGAUUAGCUUGUUGGCGGGGUAACGGCCCACCAAGGCAACGAUCAGUAGGGGUUCUGAGAGGAAGGUCCCCCACAUUGGAACUGAGACACGGUCCAAACGCCUACGGGGGGCAGCAGUGAGGAAUAUUGGUCAAUGGGCGGAAGCCUGAGCCGGCCAAGUAGCGUGCAGGAUGGCGGCCCUAUGGGUUGUAAACUGCUUUUAUACAGGAAUAAAGUUAGCCACGUGUGGUUAUUUGUAGGUACUGUAUGAAUAAGGACCGGCUAAUUCCGUGCCAGCAGCCGCGGUAA